CCCUUAGAUGUUCUGGGCCGCACGCGCGCUACACUGAUGCAUUCAACGAGCCUAUCCUUGACCGACAGGUCCGGGUAAUCUUUGAAUCUGCAUCGUGACGGGGAUAGAUUAUUGCAAUUAUUAAUCUUCAACGAGGAAUGCCUAGUAGGCGCAAGUCAUCAGCUUGCGUCGAUUGCGUCCCUGCCCUUUGUACACACCGCCCGUCGCUCCUACCGAUUGGGUGUGCUGGUGAAAUGUUCGGAUCGGCCGUUUGUCGCGGUUUCCGCGUCAUGUGGCUGCGAAGUUCAUUAAACCCUCCCACCUAGAGGAAGGAGAAGUCGUAACA
rnacentral:rRNA from 1 species